CUUCCCGUAAGGUAACCUGCGGAAGGAUCAUUACAUGACAUUGCUAGCUCUAGCAGCUAGAAGCGUUGGGCGUGUAGCAGCAAUGCAAUGCGCCCAUCGUGAUUGUCUAUACCCUUGUUUUUGAGUACCUCUGUUUCCUUGGUGGGCUUGCCCGCCAAAUGGACACCCCAAUAAACCUUUUGAAUUUUCAAUCAGCGUCUGAAAACUAUAAUUAUUACAACUUUCAACAACGGAUCUCUUGGUUCUGGCAUCGAUGAAGAACGCAGCGAAAUGCGAUAAGUAGUGUGAAUUGCAGAAUUCAGUGAAUCAUCGAAUCUUUGAACGCACAUUGCGCCCCUUGGUAUUCCAUGGGGCAUGCCUGUUCGAGCGUCAUUUAGCCUCUCAAGCUCUGCUUGGUGUUGGGUGUUUGUCUACUGCAGACUCGCCUUAAAGCAAUUGGCAGCCAGUGUAUUGGUUUUAAGCGCAGCACAUUUUGCGUCUUGCUCCCUGAACACUCGCGUCCAGUAAGCACAUUAUCACUUUUGACCUCGGAUCAGGUAGG
rnacentral:rRNA from 1 species